UUAAUCUUCGUGAUAGCCCUGUGAAGUUAAGAAAAAUUACCCAGUGCUUGGAAACAAGACAAAAGUUGGGUUUCACAUUCUCUUGAGAUCAUACUCAACAUUGUCUAGCAAGCCCACUGUGUCAGGCAGAACGUCGGCUCCCCGAAGGUGUCCACAUCCUAAUCCCCGAAUACUGUGAAUUUAUGAUGUCACGUGGUAAAAGAGACUUUGCAGAUGUAAUUAAGGUCAUAGAAUUUCAGAUAGGGAUAUUCUACUGGAUUGUCUGAGAGGGCACGAUCUAAUCACUGGAGGCUUUAAUAAAAGCAGAGACCCUUCUCCAGCUGUUGUCAGUUUGAGAGACACAGGCAGAAGAGGAGUUGGAGACAUCUGAAGGACUUGACCUGUGUUGCUAGAGAGGGCCACAUGGAAAGCAGAAGGACCACAGCCCCUGCCUGACAGCCAGCAAGGAAGUCAGCCUCCGUCCUAUUCUCUACCUAAUGGAGCUUGGAAGUGGAGUCUCCCCACGGCUCCCCAGUGAGAGCCCAGCUGCCUGACACCUUGACUUUGGCCUUGGGAAACCUGGAGCAAAGUGGAGCAAAUGGAGCAAACCGAGAGACCAAUUGAGCUCAGCCAGACUUACAGACUUACAGAACCGGAAGGCCACCAUGAAACUGACUUCACCUCAAAAGAAGAAUGGAUUUGUGAAGAAUAUGGACUUACACCCAUUUUUGUAAAGAUUUAAAAGAUGGAAAAUCUUUUAUCAUAAACAAAUGAUAUCAAUGAUUCUAGCUACUACUUUCGAGCUUAUACUAUGUAGUGCUGGAACAGACCGGCAGAGACUGGCAUGAUGACAGAAGCAGGAUGCACCUCUGGAUCUGUAUGACCCAAAGCCUGUGCUAUUCUGAGUAUUCGAAAACAAAAUAAAGCUUAAUAUCUUCC